CUCCCGAGUCCCGAGCGAGGGUCCCCUACUCGUGCGCACGCCGCCGCCGUCCUUCCGUCCGAAAGCCCCACGGAUGUCUCACCCCACGCCCGACCCCCACUCCGGUUUUUCUCGUACCCAGCCGCCGGCGACCGGAGUCGCUUCUCUCCUCCAUCCGGUGGAUCGGCUCGACCCUCCCCAGAAUACCCAUUCCCUUCGCUGCCUCCUGCUCCAACACCGAUGGCCUGACGCCGCCGUCUCCUGGUAGGCCUACACGCCCACAUGCCCAGCAACUACCGAGGUCGAUGAUGGAGCAGCCCCGAGACCCUCCUUGUGUUGCAGUGGGAGUGGAAGAGGCAAAGCACGCCCAGGGAAUCUGCUGAGAAGACGUCGUCGCCACCGACCUUGAGGUACAGGUCUGUCUCCAUGAGCUCGAGGAAGCCAUGGCCGAUGCAUCCAACCACGGAUGCCGCACCUUCGUGACUGCCACCCUCCCUCACUGCCCUACACAAUCUACUCCUCGGUCACCUCAUUGCCACCGGCGGCUUCAGUUUUGUGAACUCCAUUUGCAGAGGGAGCUUAAGUUUAAUUUCAUUUCAGGGAGAGUUGGCACAUAUGUCUCCUUGUAGUCUGAUACUUUAGACUUCAGUACACAUCAAUAUUUCUCCAUUUUUAAGCUAUACUACAAAUGCUUAAGUACAGCUUCAGGUUUCAGUUACAGUUUAUGCACAUUGCCAUGUUCUAAACUUCUGAUCCAUGGAGACAUAGUAUGUUUUCUACAAAAAUAAAUCAUCGUAACCUAAUCUCAUGCAACUUGAUGUACUAUGCUUUGUUGUACUGAGAAGCUGCAAAGCCUAAGCCUCAUGUAAAAUAUAGGAGGGCAUCUCUGAAGCGAUGGGGUGAAUGAUCUACAUAAUUUUUGGGAUGCCGUAAAUCUAAAUCUUACCUCUCCCUCAGCCAUUCGCGAUCUGGCACCCCCCUGCAUAUAUAGAUAAGUACAUGGUGUUUACCAUAAUUUACUUUUGCCUUUAUAGUAGUCUUCUUAAAUGUUUAUUGUUGAGUAUCUCAUUUCCAGCAUAUUAGUAGAGGAGCCUGCAAGUUUGGAUAGUUAUGUUUGUUGAUGGGAUUCAUUGUGCUGGUUAAAGUCAUAAUAUAUCAGUAGGUAUGGCAUGGGAUUCAUUGUUCUAGUUAGAUGAGAGUAAAUCAUGGGACACAUUUCACCGUAUUGGAUUAUUUUGUUUAGAAUUCUUUAGUCAGGUACCUUCUUUCUCUUAACACAUCUCCCUCUACAUGUUUUAUAUAUUUACAACUUCCAAUUUAAUAGCAGAUCUCAAUACUUGCUUGCAUGGUGAAAGAAUGAAGAAAUAUAUUUUAUUUUGGCUCCUAGCUAUAGUCUACAACUGGGUGUUCCAAGAAUUUGUUUUGGCAUGGUAUUCUUUGCUACCUCUUCAUGGGCGAUCCUCCUUAUUUGUUGGUUGAUUAUCUAUGCAAGAAUCUUGUCUAAUGGUCGGAAAUAUAUGGUCACAUAUUUGCUCCCGGGAUUUAAGUUUAGUCAGAGCUGAUCGACAAAUGAUCAGCCAAUUAGUAUAAUUUUCUAGCUUAAUACUUGUCACGUAAGUAUGUUUUCCUUAAUGUGAUAGGCAAUGUAAAUUUUGUGGGUCUCUCAAUUGCUAUGAGCCUAAUAUAGUUAAUCGGACAGCAUGAUUCUGAUGGAAAUGCAAAAGAAACAGAACCUGAAAUAAUAGUUAAUUGGAUUGCAUGAUUCCAAUGGAAAUGCAAAAGAAACAAACCUGGAAUAAUAGUUAAUUGGAUAGCAUGAUUCCGAUGGAAAUGUAAAAGAAACAUAUUUUUACUAUUAUUGUACAACAUAUUUUUAUUUUAUUAUUUUACUGCUUAAAAAGAAAGUAAAUCAAGACCUUGAGGAACGCUAAAUAUAUAUAUGUAAAUGAGGAAAGGAGAGCCUAAGUUCAAGGCAUGUUCAGCUCCAAUGACUUGCUCUCAAUGAAGUGUUAGUCCUCUGAAUAUUUUUAUUCCUCUGAUCUCAAACAUCGUCUACGCAAGAGUCUAAGCUUCGUCUGCCACUGCUCUUCAGUUCACGUCGUUGAUGUUGUGAGGACUAACAUCUCUUCAGUUCAUGCCGCCAAUGUUGUGAGGACUGACAGGACUUCAAUGGGCAUGGAGGAUGCAACCUAGGGUGAGGGCAUCAGUGCGUUAAGUUGGCGGGGUUGCGUCGGUGGGGGGCGGCAAUGGCGGCAGCACCACCGAUGUCCACCAGGAUCUCUAGCCGCAAUAGAUCGAAGAACAACUUGGGGAUGUCGUGCAGCUCCUGCGUGUAGUAGAUAAAUCACCGCCCAGAUAAAUCACCGGGACACUAUACCAAAUGUAGGGAAAGGCUGCGUACUAUAGACCCAAAGUGGUCGGACCCUUCCCUGGACCCUGCGCAAGCGGGAGCUACAUGCACCAGGUUGCCCUUUUUUACACUAUACCAAAUGUGUCGUUCAUUGGGCCAGGAUAAAAAAUCUCAAGGGUGCCUCAAGUGCGACUCUAGCUAUUGAAGUCAACGAACCUGACUACUUUCAGAGCCUAAUAAGGAUUUACAGUGAGUUCUCAUAGUGGUCUAUGUGCAUGAUGGGAUGCUGGUACUGCUGUUCUACAUUACUGUAGUUGUUAUUAAGCAGAUUUUGUCAAAGCAAUUGCUAUGUGUAUGCCAUUUUCUUGUUCUAGACGCGGCUGUUUUCCAUGUUGUAGACAUGGAUAUGAUGAUUGGUCGAUGAAUCAAUUGAUUUCUAAUACUAACAAUUGUGUUUCUGGCUAUUCUAAUACUGAUAGUUUUGUUUCAUUGUCCAGCGUUGAAACUAUUCAUAUGGUGAUGGAUGCAGCAUAACCAUGAGUUGAAGUACAUAAUCUUCAAGGCUGUUUACCAUUAUCCAGCUGGUUUAUUCGAAUUUAGGUUUGUAGUAAUUUAUUCAACAUCCAGGUUACAAUUAACAGAGACAUGUAAUAACCUAUUGCAACUAUGGAGUGUGCCUAAGCCAAUGAUCAGACAUCGGCUGUUCAGAUCCACCCUUACGUUGAGGCACAAGUCCAUUGCGGUUGUUUAUUGUUUGGGAUUCAGUUUCAUGGUGAGAUGUGAUUUUCUGGAUCUGGUUAUCGCUGGAUUGUGAUUUGUUGGUUUGGCAACUAAAGUUCAUUGCUUGUAGCAAGGGGAAUCAUAUUGGUUGAAACCUUGAAGUUGAACAUGAAGGGCACAAUGUUGAUUUCCAUUGGGUGUUUCCCUUGUUGAGCACUAUGGUCUCUUAUUGAAUUAUGGAAGUGAUAGUGUGGUAUUGUUGUGUAUUUUGUUUUCUUAUUUUAGUACACCAAUUAUUUUAGAGCAAUUAAUUUGGGAUGCUACAAUACCGAUAGACAUGUGGAUAUCCCUUCAUUUUAUCAAGGAUGAUUAUUGUU